GAAAUCUCCUAAAGCCUCGAAGCC
rnacentral:scRNA from 1 species